AACUAAAAUAAAAUAUCUCUAAUAAAAGAUUUAAUUAAAGAUUGUACAUAGAUUUUCCUGCUCCGUAAAAGAUUAUUCCUCCUCCGUAAGCUGCCAAUAAAAUACCAAAAACAAAUCAAAUUCCUAACUAAAAUCACGCUAAAAUAAAAAUAAGGGAUUUGAAAUUAUCCCCCAUAACCCACGAAAAACCGUCCCACACCUCUCCCCAAAUCUCUCCAACCUCUCCACCAAAUCUACCACUCCUCUAUAAUACAGAUUCACUCUUCGUUCCUUUCUUCCCAUCUCUGCAGCAAGCCUUCUUCUUCACAACUGCAAUUCAAGGACCGAACAAGAGGAUCAAGAAUCAUCCUCUCCAAAGCCUUGCAAAUUCUGAAACUUCAUCCAGUCACUGAUUGUUCAAGGUAUACACCCUCCCCAACCAAAUUCGUUUUGAAACUGCUGCAUCUUUACAUCAAAUCUGUAAAUUUACUUCAUAAAUCGGUGAAUCUACUUCUUAAACUAGUAAUCAAAAGAAAACUGGAAAAAAAUAUAAAAGGAGCGAACUUUAAUGAACUGGAAUCGAAUCUGAGAAACUUAACUUGCGGGGCUGAACGGGUUGUUUCUGGGAUGUCGUGAGGGCUGUUCGGAUGGAAACGGCACUGUUUCGGGGGGGGUUUCGGCUGCCGGCAGGCGCGGGAGCAACCAACGGCGCAGCGGCUGGAGCCGCGAGUCGACGGCGGCUGUACGACGACGGCAGCAGCUCCCGGCAGAGACGGCGGCAGCAGCUCCUCGCGGCGGCGGCGCGACGGCGGGCAGCGACAGUAGCGCUCCUCCCGGCUGGAUCGAACGACGGAACAGCAGCGACGGCAGGUGGAGGAACUUCUCCGAUUCGCCGAGAGAGAAAGAAGAAGGAAGAAGGCGUGGAGAGAGAAAGAGAAUAGGUAGAGGAAGAGAGAGAGUGUAGAUGAUGGAGUGUAGUUGGGCUCAUUUAGUUUUUCUUUCUUUGAAAUUGGGCCUCUUAACAAAAAAAAUGGUGUUUAUUAAUUGGGCUAAGGAGUAAAGUGCAUUAGUUGUUGGGCCAUUCUAA